rnacentral:pre_miRNA from 1 species
GUAUGUCUGUGUGUUUAUGCCAUUCAGCACCAAGGACAGGCAUGUCUGUGUGUUAAUGCUGUUUAGCACCAAGGACAGGUAUGUAUGAGU